AAGAAAUUUAAUAAUUUUGAAAAUGGAUUUUUUUGUUUUGGCAAGAGCAUGAGAGCUUUUACUGGGCAAGAAGACAAGAGAUGGAGAGUCCAGCCGGGCCUGCGCUUAAGUGCGCGGUCUUGCUAGGCUUGUAAGUUUCUUUCUUGCUAUUCCAAACGGUGAGAGAUUUCUGUGCUUUUGUUAUAGGACAAUUAAAACCGUUUCAAUACAACACACUGUGGAGUUUUCAUAUCUUUGCAACUUUUUCUUUGGGCAUUCGAGCAAUCGGGGCCCAGAGGUUAACAAACACAAACAAUUUUAUCUAUUCAUUAAAUUUUUGUCAAAAACAAGAAUUUUCGUAACUGGAAAUUUUAAAAUAUUAAAAACUUUCAACAACGGAUCUCUUGGUUCUCGCAUCGAUGAAGAACGCAGCGAAAUGCGAUACGUAAUGUGAAUUGCAGAAUUCCGUGAAUCAUCGAAUCUUUGAACGCACAUUGCGCCCCUUGGUAUUCCAGGGGGCAUGCCUGUUUGAGCGUCAUUUCCUUCUCAAACAUUCUGUUUGGUAGUGAGUGAUACUCUUUGGAGUUAACUUGAAAUUGCUGGCCUUUUCAUUGGAUGUUUUUUUUUUCCAAAGAGAGGUUUCUCUGCGUGCUUGAGGUAUAAUGCAAGUACGGUCGUUUUAGGUUUUACCAACUGCGGCUAAUCUUUUUUAUACUGAGCGUAUUGGAACGUUAUCGAUAAGAAGAGAGCGUCUAGGCGAACAAUGUUCUUAAAGU
rnacentral:misc_RNA from 1 species